rnacentral:rRNA from 1 species
UACGUAGGGUCCGAGCGUUGUCCGGAAUUAUUGGCGUAAAGGGCUCGUAGGCGGUUUGUCGCGUCGGGAGUGAAACACGGGGCUUAACCCCGUGCCUGCUUCCGAUACGGGGCAGACUAGAGGUAUGCAGGGGAGAACGGAAUUCCUGGUGUAGCGGUGAAAUGCGCAGAUAUCAGGAGGAACACCGGUGGCGAAGGCGGUUCUCUGGGCAUUACCUGACGCUGAGGAGCGAAAGUGUGGGGAGCGAACAGGG